UACGUAGGGUGCAAGCGUUAAUCGGAAUACUGGGCGUAAAGCGUGCGCAGGCGGUGAUGUAAGACAGUUGUGAAAUCCCCGGGCUCAACCUGGGAACUGCAUCUGUGACUGCAUCGCUGGAGUGUGGCAGAGGGGGAUGGAAUUCCGCGUGUAGCAGUGAAAUGCGUAGAUAUGCGGAGGAACACCGAUGGCGAAGGCAAUCCCCUGGGCCUGCACUGACGCUCAUGCACGAAAGCGUGGGGAGCAAACAGG
rnacentral:rRNA from 1 species